CCUACGGGGGGCAGCAGUGAGGAAUAUUGGUCAAUGGCCGGAAGGCUGAACCAGCCAUGCCGCGUGAAGGUCAGUGCCCUAUGGGCGUUAAACUUCUUUUGUGCGGGAGCAAUAAUGGUCACGUGUGGCCAGACGAGAGUACCGUACGAAUAAGCAUCGGCUAACUCCGUGCCAGCAGCCGCGGUAAUACGGGGGAUGCAAGCGUUAUCCGGAUUUAUUGGGGUGAAAGGGUGAGUAGGCUGGGAGGUAAGUCAGCGGUGAAAUGCCCCCGCUCAACGGGGUGAAGUGCCAUUGAUACUGGCUUGCUGGAAUGCGGAUGCGGUGGGAGGAAUGUGUGGUGUAGCGGUGAAAUGCAUAGAUAUCACACAGAACACCGAUUGCGAAGGCAUCUCACGAAUCCGAGAUUGACGCUGAUGCACGAAAGCGUGGGGAUCAAACAGGAUUAGAUACCCGAGUAGUC
rnacentral:rRNA from 1 species